rnacentral:rRNA from 1 species
UACGAACUGUGCGAACGUUAUUCGGAAUCACUGGGCUUACAGGGUGCGUAGGCGGCUUGUUAAGUAGGGUGUGAAAGCCCCCGGCUCAACCGGGGAAUUGCGCCCUAAACUGGCGAGCUGGAGUGAGAUAGGGGUGUGUGGAACUUCCGGUGGAGCGGUGAAAUGUGUUGAUAUCGGAAGGAACGCCGGUGGCGAAGGCGGUCUCCUGGGGCAUUCUUGACGCUGAGGCGCGAAAGCUAGGGGAGCAAACGGG